rnacentral:lncRNA from 1 species
AAAAAUUGGAUGCGCAAAUAUUCUAACACCGAAAACGGUAGCUCUAAAGGAGAGUCUCGAGUUUUGACCACACUCAUAGCUGAAGGAUUUAUUUUAUUUUAUUAUGGGUGCAGUUUGCAUACGGACGCCUCCAUAGGUGUGUAGAGGUAAGGUGCCCUUCAAAUUUAUCAUGGUAUAUAUUUUUGAUGUAAAAUAUUUUAGGAUUAUCUCAAAAUUUAUUUUUAUAUCUAAUUAUAAAAUUUAAAAUUUCAAAAAAGAUUAAAUUCAAGUAGAUCUAUAAACCUAUGAAAAUCUUGAAAAUGGACGGUGUAGAUAAUAUGUUGUAAAAUGCACUAUUUCAGAGACUUACAAUCUUUUUAUUUUUCAUAGUCAUACAUUUCGAUGUCAAGAUGAUCAAUCAAAGGAUUUUUCAACAUUAAAACUACCUUUUUCGAUGGAUUUUUAAGGAGCAUCCAUAGUUCUACACUAUAAGGUAGCAUCCUUAUAUAAACUUUUUCCUUUAAUUAUGUGCAUUCCAACCAAUACCUCCAGCUAGUAUGUGGGAUCUAAGCACUUGUAUGCAUUCGAUUUGAUGAAUUGAUGUAAUAGGAAGACUUUAGCGACAAUGAAUCGUUAAGAAACUAAUGCAGCUCUGAUAUCAAUUGAUGCAAAUUGAGAAAAUAAAAUCAGAAAAAAAUAAAAAUAACAUUUUUAAAGAAUAUACCCUCCCUCAAGGUCUUUAAGAGAAUCCACCCCAAGGCUGAGCGAAUAUACCCCCUCUCAAGGUAUGUAAGGGAAUCUACCCCAAAAAUAUCUUCACGAGACUAAAUUUUAUUAAUUCAUCUACCACCUUUUACAAUGAAGGGAAACGUUCUUUUAAACGCACUUAAAAAAAUAAAUAAAUAAAUAAACAACUGACUUUUCAAUUUUAUUUCCAACCUAUUUUCUCUUAUCCCUAUAUUUUCCAUCUUAAAUUCACGUGAUCUCUUAACCAUCACGUACCAAACAGAUAUCUUCUCUCUUAAUCUACUUUUUAUCCAAAACGUUCCCAAGUUGAAAAGAUAAACCCCCUAUAUUUAACCUUAUCCUAUUUAUAUUCCUAAACUAACUAACCCAAUCAAUAAAUAUCAACUCACAUACAAACUCAAUGCCCACAAAUAUCUUGCUCACCUCCUCUCCUAUUCCUGAAGAGAUAAACUAAAGAAUAAUAAAAAAAUUAAAAUAACCCUAAUAUUAUUUGCGUCAGAAAUAAAUAUGAAUUCGUUAUAUGUUUGGAAUUAUCAAAAUAAGUGUGCACUUAUUCCCUUCAAGUAAUUCAACUCUACCUAUUUAUAAAAGUUGCUAUAGUAAGUACCAUUCCUCGCAAGUGUAUGAUAAAUUUAUCAAAAUACAACACCUUUCAGCUAUUUAAGUUUACCCGUUUCUGUACUAUUCCAACUCAAUAUCAUAUGUAUUUUGAUGGGUAUUUUAUAAUUAAAUAAAACAAUAAGGGCGAAAUUCUAAUAAUUAUUAUAUUAGGUGCAUUUUGGCAAAUUUCCCUAAAUGUAUUUAUAAGGGCUAAUAAUGAAAGAAUCAUGAGCUAAUCAUGAAAGAAUCAUUAGAAAUAGGCUCGAUGCUUUGCGUCAUUGUUAAAGUAUUUUUUCUCCAGAGAAAAGGCAUAUGGGGAGGAGACUUUUAUCAAGAGAUAUGAACAAAACUCUAGCUCUAGAUCCCUUUUCUUGAGAUGCACCAUCAAAGAAUAACUCCUAUUGACUGCACAUCACUUCCUUAUCUAGACAAUCCUCAUAAAGGAUGGCCGGCUAAGACGUUUGUAAGAGCAUGUUUCACAACCUUCUAUUGGACAUAGGCGAAAUCAAAUCCCAUAAGAAGCGGUACCCACUUGGCAAAACACCCCAACAAAGUUAGUCGUGUCAUCAAGAAUUUUAUGGGAUCUGCUCAUGAAAUAGGUUGUAUGGAAUGAGCCAAUAGGUAAUGCCCCAACUUCUGAACGGAAAAUACUAAAGUGAGAGACAUUUUCUCAAUGGCCAAAUAGUUGUAUUCAUAUGCCAUCAUGGUGUGAUAUAGAUAAUAUAGAGCAACCUUAAUGCCUUCGUCAUUGUGCCAUGUGACCCUUCCAAGGCAGUCAUAUACCGUAUUAAGAGCCUGCCUAAAAUUGGUGUCAUAAAGAGCGGUGGUUUCAAGAGAUAAUCCCUAAACGCCUGAUAAGCUGUCUAACAGACGUUACCCCAUAUGAAAGGCAUAUCCUUUGCCGUAAGCCUAAAGUUACAUCUUCCUGAUAAAUUUAAAUUGAACUUCCUAUAGGAAAGUCUUCCUUGUACGGACUUUUAACUCUCAAAGGUUAGUGGGUGGCAUCAUAUCCUAUAUUGCAUUGAUUUUCACAUGAUCAAUCUCAAUCCCUCAAUGCACAAAACCCUCAAUGCACAAAACCCUUGAAGGGUUCUCUCUCCUCAUGCAUGAUCACUAGAGUGCUAUGUGGCACAUGCAUGCUUCCACCCUAUGCUUAUAUAUUCCUCCCCAUCCACUCAUAAAUUUGGUUUCUCUCUCUACCCUCACCUCUUCACUCCCUCACUUGCCGCUCUUUCCCCCUUGUUCUUCUUCUUCUCCCUUAGCCAUUAAAUCCCUCCAAGCCCAUCAACUGCCCUCCCAAGCCUUAAACUU